UUUUUUCAUCUUUCCAGUUUUCACCUCAACUACAGGAGGUGCCAUUCCCAUGACAGAGGUGAGCUACCCUGCAUGUGACGUUUCCAGGGAGAAAGGUUUUAAAGAAAAGCAAAUGUUCAGCUAAUGCCAGUAAGUGUUCUGCAAAUAGGGAUUGUCAAGCUUCAGAUCAAGAUUGUUUUGUUCUGGACAAUUGAGCCUUUGCAGUCUGUGUCCUGAGUGAAGCUGGAAGCAUGGUAGCUCUUCUCUUCAAUGACCUCCCCCCAUGUGGUGUCUUUAUUAUUUUUUAUUUCAAUAGCUUUUGGGGUACAUGUGGUUUUUUGUAACAUGGAUGAAUUAUAUAGUGGUGAAUUCUGAGAUUUUAGUGUUCCCAUCACCUGAGUAGUAUACAUUGUACUUAACGUGUAGCCUUUGAAACUGGGACAUCAGCUUUUUCUUGCCUUUAGACUCAAACUGAAACAUUAUUAAUUUAGAUGACUGGGAGCCAAAGAAAGGUAGCUUCUGGAAAUUCCUUUCCAUGUAUAAUAUUGACCAGGGUAUCUGUAAUUCACAAGUAAUGAGAAGGGAAGAGUUAAUGGGAUUUUUUAAUAUGCUGAAUAGGGCUUUUCUGCUGAAUAGCACUACAUUGUCUGAGAGCAAAAAUGUAAAACCCAAAACUCUAAAAACCCUAGUGUCUUCUAGGGUUUUCUUAUAGUUUCUUCUAGAUUUUCUUAUCUAGGCAAUACCAAUCAGGACACAAGCAUGGGCAAAGAUUUCAUGACAAAGGCACCAAAAGCGAGAAAGGUAGUUGUGAUGAACAGAAUGAAGAUGUCCUAGAGGAAGUAGUGCUGGCAGAAAAUUUUCACGUUAGAAAAAACUCUUGGAGGUGUUUCAGCUGAGUUGGUAAGCCAGAGGAGAGACCUGAUAAGACUUACUCUAGAGCAACAUUCACUCUGGCUUCUGUGUUGCAAGUUCUCAGUGAUCUGUAAAGGAGAUUAGGAAGAUAGUUUGUUUAAAAUCUUAACAUGUGAAAUGGUAAAAUAAAUGGUAAGAAUAGUAACAUAUUUAUUCAAACUUUUACUAUAUACCAAAUAUAGAUCUAUCUUGUAUAGAUUUAAUAUUUGGUGAUGUUUGCUUUGGUCAUUUAAUUAAGGGUGACAAUCAGAUCUCCCUUUUACAAAGGUACGCUUUCCUUUGAAAUGUAUAAGUGAUCUUUGGAUGAAUAAUUCAAAAGUAUGUGAAAUUUUCUAUUUUAAUAAGAUUUCACUCAGAGGUUUCCACACUCAUUAUGAUGCUUGUCUGAAUCAAUUAUUGAAUAGAAUUGCAAAAUCAUUGAUUUUCUAAUUCUUUCAUUCCUUUUACAUUUAUUAGCUGUGAUUCUUUAAAGAACCUCCUUUUUCUUUUUUCCCUUCUCUCUUCUGAUAAAACUAUACUCAUCAUUUAAAAAAUGUAUAAUAAUUCAUUGACACACACACACACAAACACACAGAUACACAGAACAUGGACAGAGACAAUGGGUAGCCUUAAAGUCUAAAAUAUUUACUACUUGGCCUUUUACAGGAAGUAGGCCAAUGUAUUUUUUCUCAGGGCCUAUUUUCUAAUUUAAAGAUAAGUUGGUAGUAUGUUUUUUUUUUUUUUUUUUUUGAGACAGAGUCCCCCUGUGUCACAAUCUCAGCUCACUAUAACCUCUGCCUCCCAGGCUCAAGCGAUUCUCCUGCCUCAGCCUCAUGCUGGGAUUAUAGGCAUGAGCUACUGCACGCAGCUGGUAGUAUGAUUUUUAAUUUCCAGACAUAUAAGAUUUAUUUUAUUAGUUUUAUAACUAUUAAUUUCUAAUUUUGUUGCAUGUUUAUAGUAAGAGUGUAUAGUUUACACAAUGUUGAUUCUUUGGAACUUACUGGGGUUUCAUUUUUGUCUUCGAUACGGAUAGUUUUGUUAAUGUUUCAUAUAUGCUUGAAAAUAAUCUUUAUUUUUUAUUUGGUGGAUGGGAAAUUCUCUAUAAAGUAACUCUAUUGAGUUGAUUAAUUAUGCUCUCCAAAUU
rnacentral:lncRNA from 10 species